GCCCAGGUUUCUACCGCCCUAGGGCUCAUCUAAAACCUAAGAUGGCGGCAUUUGCAUAGGGUGUAAGCGCUGCAGGCAUACUUUAUGUGAAAAGACGGCCAAAGGACGAGUCUCCUAAGGAAUGUCCAGAAACUUGCGGAUUAUUUGUGUUGUGAUUGGACAGGGAGGCUAGAAACGGCUGGAUUUGGGUGCUUCCCUUCCUGUCAGAGGCUGGAGGACCCUGAUGCUGGGUGUUUUUUGUUUUGUUUUGGCUGCUCUACACUGCCUGUGGAAUUUUGUUCUCAAACCAGGGAUCGAACCCCGUGAUCCCUGCAGUGUAGAAUCUUAACCACUGGACUACCAGAUAUUGAAAAUUCCUUGCGUCCAUGGGAUAAAUUCCACUUGUUCAUGAUCCCAUGUAGACUACUACAAAGUUUCUCAACAAAAGAUUAGCAAACCGAACCCAACAUCACAUAAAAAAAUCAUACACCACAACCAAGUAGAAUUCAUCCCAAGUUCAAAAGGAUAGUUCAACAUAUGCAAAUCAAUCAAGGUAUUUUUAAUUUCUUCUUUAUUACUGACCCAUUCAUGGACCACAGCCUUGUCUAACUCAGUGAAAU